rnacentral:ncRNA from 2 species
UAUGUAGUUGAAGCGACUAUUCGUAUAAUUACCCAAAUUGGUGGGAAGUCUCUACGCUGUGGCCCGUAAAGCCAGCACUACGAAUAAAUCUUAACUUCUU